AGAGUUUGAUUCUGGCUCAGGAUGAACGCUGGCGGCGUGCUUAACACAUGCAAGUCGUGCGAAGCGCAUAAGUUUGAUUCUUCGGAUGAAGAUUUUUGUGACUGAGCGGCGGACGGGUGAGUAACGCGUGGGUAACCUGCCUUACACAGGGGGAUAACAGUUAGAAAUGACUGCUAAUACCGCAUAAGACCCCGGUACCGCAUGGUACAGAGGUAAAAACUGAGGUGGUGUAAGAUGGACCCGCGUCUGAUUAGGUAGUUGGUGAGGUAACGGCUUACCAAGGCGAUGAUGCAUAGCCGAGUUGAGAGACUGAUCGGCCACAAUGGAACUGAGACACGGUCCAUACUCCUACGGGAGGCAGCAGUAGGGAAUCUUCCACAAUGGGCGCAAGCCUGAUGGAGCAACACCGCGUGAGUGAAGAAGGGUUUCGGCUCGUAAAGCUCUGUUGUUGGAGAAGAACGUGCGUGAGAGUAACUGUUCACGCAGUGACGGUAUCCAACCAGAAAGUCACGGCUAACUACGUGCCAGCAGCCGCGGUAAUACGUAGGUGGCAAGCGUUAUCCGGAUUUAUUGGGCGUAAAGCGAGCGCAGGCGGUUGCUUAGGUCUGAUGUGAAAGCCUUCGGCUUAACCGAAGAAGUGCAUCGGAAACCGGGCGACUUGAGUGCAGAAGAGGACAGUGGAACUCCAUGUGUAGCGGUGGAAUGCGUAGAUAUAUGGAAGAACACCAGUGGCGAAGGCGGCUGUCUGGUCUGCAACUGACGCUGAGGCUCGAAAGCAUGGGUAGCGAACAGGAUUAGAUACCCUGGUAGUCCAUACCGUAAACGAUGA
rnacentral:rRNA from 1 species